GACGUAGGGCGCGAGCGUUGUCCGGAUUUAUUGGGCGUAAAGAGCUCGUAGGCGGCUUGUCGCGUCGACUGUGAAAACCCCGCGGCUUAACUGCGGGACUGCAGUCGAUACGGGCAGGCUAGAGUUCGGUAGGGGAGACUGGAAUUCCUGGUGUAGCGGUGAAAUGCGCAGAUAUCAGGAGGAACACCGGUGGCGAAGGCGGUGGUCUGGGCCGGAACUGACGCUGAGGAGCGAAAGCGUGGGGAGCGAACAGG
rnacentral:rRNA from 1 species